rnacentral:lncRNA from 1 species
AUCCCUGAACCCACAGGAAUGAAUGCCUAAUGGUGGAGUUUCAGCCAUCAGUGACAGGCUGAACCCAGACUCCCAGGGCACCUGCUUGCACCUUUGAAUGAUGGCCUGAACUAUGAACAAACGGGACUAUAUGAACACUUCGGUACAGGAGCCCCCUCUUGACUACUCCUUCAGAAGCAUCCACGUCAUUCAAGGUCAGCCCCCAGAGCACAGUACUCCACUCACUAAGGCAGCAGGCCCAGUGUGGUCCCUAGGAAGAAACCAUAAUCUACUUAAAAGCCUAAAGAGAUUCUUCCCAUAUGCUUGCA